rnacentral:rRNA from 1 species
AGUUUUUUGUUUUUUUAUAAAAAAUAUUUUUUGCUCAACGUUUAUAAAUAGCCGCGGUAAUUUGACCGUGCAAAGGUAGCAUAAUCAUUUGCCUCGUAAUUGGGGGCUAGUAUGAAUGGAAUAACAAGACUUCUUUUUUAUUUUUUUGAGAGUUUGGUAAUUUUCUUUUUUAGUGAAGAAGCUAAAAUUUUUUAGUGGGACAAGAAGACCCUUUUGAGCUUUAUUAUUAGGUUUUUUUUAAGAGUAGUUAAUUUGGUUGGGGCGAUCGAGGAAGGUUUUAGAUCUUCUUUUAUUAAUUUUGAUCCAAUGUUUUUGAUUAAUAGAGUAAGUUACCAAAGGGAUAACAGCGUAAUUUUUUUUGUGAGUUCUUAUUAAAAGAGAAGAUUGCGACCUCGAUGUUGACUUAUGGUUUCCAGUAGGUGUAGUGGCUUUUAUGGUAGGUCUGUUCGACCUUUAAAACCUU